GGGAAAUAAUGCAGUCAAGGGUCAGUGGUGUGGUGGUCAUCAGCUGGACAGUGAGAUAAGAGGCAGAUUCAGGCCUUCUCCAGGAAGGCCCUCCAGCUUAUCCAGCCUUGGGCCAGCAGGUAAAGAAGAUGUGAAGGAUGGAGUCCAGAUGGUGGAGUAGGAAGAUGGAAACUCAUGGCUCCUCACCACUAGGGCACCUACCAGGCUCUGGUGGAGGACCUGGAACACCUCAGGGAACUGGAUGAACCCCUACAAGACUGGGUCCUCAUCUCAGCACCAAGACCUGGCUCCAACCAACUGCCUGCAAGCUCCUGUGCUGGAUGCCUCAGGUCAAAAAACC
ensembl:lncRNA